CUAAUUCUAAGUUUUUAAUACCAAAAAUUUAUUGAACCAAAUUUGUUGAGCUCAAUUCUCAUAUCUUCUUUUCUCUUAAAACCUCAAAACUGUACUUCACAUGAUCAAUCUCUUGGUAGACACUUUUUUCUCAAAGUUUUAGAUUUUUUAAAAUUUUUUCAUCAUCCUUAUGAAUUUUUCUGUGCCAUGAGUCGACCCUA
rnacentral:lncRNA from 1 species